AGGCCGAGUUGUAAUUUGCAGAGGAUGCUUUGGAAUCUGUGCUAUCUCAAGUCCUUUGGAACAGGGCGUCAGGGAGGGUGAAAAUCCCGUACUUUUGGACCACAGUUUCCGGGUAAAGCUCCUUCGAAGAGUCGAGUUGUUUGGGAAUGCAGCUCUAAGUGGGAGGUAAAUUUCUUCCAAAGCUAAAUAUCUGCUAGAGACCGAUAGCGCACAAGUAGAGUGAUCGAAAGAUGAAAAGCACUUUGAAAAGAGAGUUAAAAAGCACGUGAAAUUGUUGAAAGGGAAGCUCAUGCAGUCAGACGUGAUGUCGUCGGCUCAGCCUUUUGGUGUAUUCCGGUGAUGUCAGGCUAGCAUCAGUUGGGGUAGCUGGAUAAAAGUUUUGGGAAUGUAGCUCCUCGGAGUGUUAUAGCCCGAUUCAGAAUGCAGCUCAUCCCGACUGAGGACCGCU
rnacentral:rRNA from 1 species